AUUCAACAUACGAUACAACGAUAUAAUUAAAAAAUUGUUCAAUCAUCUUGAAAAAUAUGAAAGAAUAUUAUUUAAUUUAAUUUUUAAGGAUUAUGAGUUAACUAUUCUUGCUACAUAGUAAUGUCUGAAUAACUGUAAAAUGGAGAUUGAAACGCAUCAAUUAUUUGAGAAAGAAAAUAUUCCAAGAGGUUAGAUAUUAUAAUAUUUCAAUAUCAUUUCUCGUUUAAAUUAUAAACAUUUAUAACUUAUCAAAUGGUAUAACUCGUAUUUUUUGCAAGAGGAAUACGAAUUAUCAUUUUUCAUCGAUCAACUCAAUCCUAUUGGAUCGUUAGAGAACUGAAGGAUUUUAUGUUGAGAGACAAAACGAAGAACGUUAUAAGCAUCCUGAGAGGAUGGAAAGAAAUCGAAAGAAAGUAGAUAUACGAGGAACCGUGGUUAGACGAGGUGGAAUAAUAACAGGCUGGGAUAUAUCAAUGGGAUUCAAUAUCGAAAUGAUCCGAUGCCCGUGUCUAAGCAUGCGUGCACGCAUCGGGGGAUCUUCGCGUACAUAACUUACAUAUAUGUAACGGCUAUAAAGAUAGCGUGUAUCAGAUAGCAUAGUCUCGUGAAAGGGAAGUUGGAACGGUCUUCUUCUUUGGCAAACGGCCAAGUGUUUUUCACUUGAUUCUUUUUUUUUUUAUAAUUCAUCUUUAAUAUUGAAGAUUUACGAUUAUCAAGUUAAUCAUUCAUAAAUAAUGAAGUUAACGUUAUCGUCACGCUAGCAGUGACCUUACAGUGCAAAGGAUUCAAUUUAAUUAAUAAGGGAAAUGAAAUUUUUGUAUGUUCGAGUAUCAGAUUAUUAAACGUCAUUCAUAAAUAAUGAAGUUGUCUUGUCACGCUAAUGGAGAAUCAGACGAGAUACAUAUCAAGCGUAAUUGAACGUGGAGAAAAGUUAGAAGAAAUUCUCAGUUCUCAGUUCUCAAAACAAGAUUCUUCUUCGAAACUUAUGAUAUUUCAUCCAAAUAGUGGUGGAGGUUAAGCGUCUACGAAGUUCGGUUAGAAUUUCGAAUAAUGCUCGUGCUUUUCCAUCGAAUGGGUUCGAGUUCUUAAGAAUUCGAAUUUCUAUCAUCCACGUAUCCCAUUACAUCUUUAAUCUUACUUCCUGUCGAAUCUCGAAAAAUCAUAGUUCUUGUAACAAAGUGGAGGAAGAAAAAAAUCAUAGUUCAAAGGGAACAGAGAGAAGAACAAUGCCAGAGGGAAAAAGAAAGAAAGAGAUAAAGAAAAAAAAAAUAGGCUUGGAUGGAAGGAGACGUAUCAAGAAGGAAGUUGUUCAAGACAAGAAGGACGCCUAAGGCGUUUUAUGGGUGUCGAUGAUGUCACAGAUUCGAGCCAUAAAAAGAAAUUUAGUGGUCCAGAGCGACCAGUCUACGUUCGAGAACGAUACAUUUCCAGCCCUUUUCUUUUUUUUUUCUUUCCCCCCUCCACAAUCGAAAUCCGGUAAUCCUCAUAGGACCACGAAGCAUGAUGGUUGGUCAAAAAGUGACCGACCAUACCGACCGAUAAAUUCAAAUUUAUCUAAAUUUUCAUCCAUUUGAUUAGCAUCAUUGUUCAUUUUCAAGUCGAACGGAUUAAAAAUGAAUCGACUAUUAGCCUACCAAAGUCUACUUUACUCGUUGCCUUUAAUUCGAGAUGGAUUCAGGAAUUUACAGCUGGGUAAAUAAGGUUAAGUAGAUGCAGAUUGAGUCGAGCGUGGAAGCCACACAAUGGAGAAUGCGGGGUGGAGGGGAGAUGGACCGUACCACCUUCGCUUCGUACCACAGAAUCGAAGCCCCAUCGUGUGGUCGCAACUACGGAUAGUAUCGGAUACUAGCCGCGGGCUACUUACCUCUAUUAUGCCAAUAGUGACGCUAGGUAGGCUAGGGUCAUCUUCAAUUGGAUCAUACUUGACACUCGGUAUGGUAGGCCAGCUGAUCGUUACAUUCUUCGACGUAAUGUUUUAGCGCGAAAUCUGUUUCGACGAGAAACAUUACCUCUUGACCCGCACCUGUAUGAUCCGAUGUGUGUAACCAACGCGUGUGAAAUUGGCUUAUACACCGCGAUGCUUGCGUCAGUCGUAAUAUUCGUUAAGCCCGGAUCAUCUUUCAAUUGGAUCGUGUUUGACACUUGGACAUUUAGUCGAAUUAUCGUUAUUAUUAUUAUUAUUAUGUUUUUCACAUACGAUUGUUUUGUCAUGUGGGUAUCAUUUUUUUAUCGUAAUAAAAUAUUUAUUUUUCUCCUUUUCUGUCUAUCGAAGAACGGAUUAUUUAUAACUAUUGAUCAAUUCAAUCGAAUUAAUCGUUACGAACAAAGAAAACGAAGAAAUAGUAAGUUUAAUUUAAUUAGGUUAAAAAUAUUUUCCAUCGUAUUGUCGAUUUUUUUUCGAUUUAUUAUAUCGACCGAGGGAAAGGCUGUUUGCAAGGGCAGCAAAUUGUUUAAAAUAGACCGUAAAGGGGAUUUAAAUGGUCCCCAAGCGUGUAUCGCGACGCACUGUCACAGAUGGAGGGAUCUGGCUCUAAAGUGAAUCGAACCAUGUAAACUCGCUCGAAUAUUCGACAAUUAAAAAUCUAGCAUAACCGUAGUCUUAUUAUUAUUCGUAUAUUAAUUUAUUUAUGUAUAAUAAUAUUUUAUCGUAUUUUUUUUCUCUUUAAAUUCUUUUUAAAUAUAUAUUUUA